rnacentral:rRNA from 1 species
GAUGAACGCUAGCGGCAGGCUUAAUACAUGCAAGUCGUGGGGCAGCAUGAGUAGCAAUACUUGAUGGCGACCGGCAAACGGGUGAGGAACACGUACACAACCUUCCUUCAAGCGGGGAAUAGCCCAGAGAAAUUUGGAUUAAUACCCCAUAAUAUAUUUGAUAAGGCAUCUUAUUAAUAUUAAAGCUUCGGCACUUGAUGAUGGGUGUGCGGCUGAUUAGAUAGUUGGCGGGGUAACGGCCCACCAAGUCUACGAUCAGUAGCUGAUGUGAGAGCAUGAUCAGCCACACGGGCACUGAGACACGGGCCCGACUCCUACGGGAGGCAGCAGUAAGGAAUAUUGGACAAUGGACGAAAGUCUGAUCCAGCCAUGCCGCGUGAAGGAUUAAGGUCCUCUGGAUUGUAAACUUCUUUUAUAUGGGACGAAAAAAGGGCAUUCUUGUUCACUUGACGGUACCAUAUGAAUAAGCACCGGCUAACUCCGU